rnacentral:rRNA from 1 species
CCUACGGGGGGCAGCAGUGAGGAAUAUUGGUCAAUGGACGAGAGUCUGAACCAGCCAAGUAGCGUGAAGGAUGACUGCCCUAUGGGUUGUAAACUUCUUUUAUAUGGGAAUAAAACGUUCCACGUGUGGGAUUUUGUAUGUACCAUAUGAAUAAGGAUCGGCUAACUCCGUGCCAGCAGCCGCGGUAAUACGGAGGAUCCGAGCGUUAUCCGGAUUUAUUGGGUUUAAAGGGUGCGUAGGCGGGUUUUUAAGUCAGCGGUAAAAUUGCCGGGCUCAACCCGGGCCGGCCGUUGAAACUGGGGAUCUGGAGUGGGCGAGAAGUAUGCGGAAUGCGUGGUGUAGCGGGGAAAUGCAUAGAUAUCACGCAGAACUCCGAUUGCGAAGGCAGCAUACCGGCGCCCGACUGACGCUGAGGCACGAAAGCGUGGGGAUCGAACAGGAUUAGAUACCCUUGUAGUC